rnacentral:tRNA from 1 species
CUUCCGGGAACAGAUCCAGUGGAGACGUAGUGGGGCCUGUAGCUCAGAGGAUUAGAGCACGUGGCUACGAACCACGGUGUCGGGGGUUCGAAUCCCUCCUCGCCCAC